rnacentral:misc_RNA from 1 species
GGAUUUCCUAGUGGGAGAUAUGGUCUAAAAACUAUUUUAGGGUCAAGUGGUCACUUAGACAAUUUCUAGGAUUUGUAUGCUAACUUUACCUAGCCAAUUGACCUAGUUCUCUUGAUUUUUGGGUUUUGGUCAAAAUACCAAUAUUGUACAUCUAUGUCUUGUGGAAAUUUUUCACUAGUUUCAUUGCAUUUGGAUUUUAGUAGACCAAGUUAUGACCAUUUUGCCAAAACU